AGGGUUUGAUCAUGGCUCAGAUUGAACGCUGGCGGAAUGCUUUACACAUGCAAGUCGAACGGCAGCACGGACUUCGGUCUGGUGGCGAGUGGCGAACGGGUGAGUAAUGUAUCGGAACGUAUCCAGUAAUGGGGGAUAACUAAUCGAAAGGUUGGCUAAUACCGCAUACGCCCUACGGGGGAAAGCAGGGGAUCUUCGGACCUUGCGUUAAUGGAGCGGCCGAUAUCUGAUUAGCUAGUUGGUGAGGUAAGAGCUCACCAAGGCGACGAUCAGUAGCUGGUCUGAGAGGACGACCAGCCACACUGGAACUGAGACACGGUCCAGACUCCUACGGGAGGCAGCAGUGGGGAAUUUUGGACAAUGGGCGCAAGCCUGAUCCAGCCAUUCCGCGUGAGUGAAGAAGGCCUUCGGGUUGUAAAGCUCUUUCGCAAGGGAAGAAACGAUGCAGACGAAUAAUCUGUGUUAAUGACGGUACCUUGAUAAGAAGCACCGGCUAACUACGUGCCAGCAGCCGCGGUAAUACGUA
rnacentral:rRNA from 1 species